CCACCACAGUACACAUCGUUGGUGCGGCACCUGUUCCACACCUGCCGUCAACUGACUGGUACCACUCGACUGUCAUCUGUAGCCAUGCCUGGACCUUGCUGUGGAUCUGGAGGCAAAUGCCAAGGAUCCGCGUGUAACUGCGGUGCUGCCUGCAACUGUGGCCGCACUCAAUGUUCUAGCAGUCGUGUUCCCACAUUGGUAACUUGUGCAAUGCUGAUGUACUGACCGCAAUGUUGCAGAAUGCCAAGGAUCCGCGUGUAACUGCGGUGCUGCCUGCAACUGUGGCCGCACUCAAUGUUCUAGCAGUCGUGUUCCCACAUUGGUAACUUGUACAAUGCUGAUGUACUGACCGCAAUGUUGCAGAAUGCCAAGGAUCCGCGUGUAACUGCGGUGCUGCCUGCAACUGAGGCCGCACUCAAUGUUCUAGCAGUCGUGUUCCCACAUUGGUAACUUGUGCAAUGCUGAUGUACUGACCGCAAUGUUGCAGAAUGCCAAGGAUCCGCGUGUAACUGCGGUGCUGCCUGCAACUGAGGCCGCACUCAAUGUUCUAGCAGUCGUGUUCCCACAUUGGUAACUUGUACAAUGCUGAUGU
rnacentral:misc_RNA from 1 species